rnacentral:lncRNA from 1 species
GCCGGUGACUUAUUUUAGUCAAUUUUAAUAUUUAUUCCAUAGGUUCUGGCUAAAACGAGCUGUAUAUUCCACUGUCUGUAGCAAGCAACUAUUGGAGUUAUGAGCAGGUAGAGUGAAGGAACUAUCAUGCCAACCAUGUAUCUAGCACACAGGUAUGAUGUCAAGCCGCUUAAAGCUUUUGGUUUACCAAAAAGUGAAUGCCAGUAUCUUCCCUGAAAAGAUUUUAAAAUCCUACGCACAGGAAUUCAUGCUCCACAGUUGGUUUUAGUCNNNNNNNNNNNNNNNNNNNNAAAGGGAACGGCAACCACCAACAAAUGAUAGAGAACACGCCCCAGCAUGGAUAUAGGAAAAAAACUAAUGCCCCAUAAGUUAAAGAACCGGUGGCUUAUACUGGUGUCGUCCUGCUACACCUUAUACUUCUGAAUCACAGGCACAAGUAUUCAGAUUGAACAGACGGCUGGCUUAUCCUCUCAAUUUCUGCAUUCACCACAUAAAACGAGGAAAAGUGAAACUAAAACUGAACUUUGAGAAUCUCCAAAAUCGAUAAGCAAGCAAACACAACUAGCGAAGCAACCAUUUACAGAGUAAAUACACCUACAUUGGAGAGUCUUAUCCAUAACUCCAGUGUAUCAAUGGCUUUGCCAGACAGAUGUGUCUCUUGCGCUAGAGCCACUCCUUCGCCCAAAGUGCUCACACGACCACUAACCAAAAGUGCAGCUGCCGCAUUCAAUACCUGAAUGUUCAAUAAAACAACUUUGUCAGAGAGAGAGACAGAGUAAUAAAUCAGUUAAACAAGCUGCCACUGCCGGUGACUUAUUUUAGUCAAUUCCACAGGUUCUGGCUAAAACGAGCUGUAUAUUCCACUCUGUAGCAAGCAACUAUUGGAGUUAUGAGCAGCCUUCCAUGAUAAUAAAGCAGGAAGAGUGAAGGAACUAUCAUGCCAACCAUGUAUCUAGCACACAGGUAUGAUGUCAAGCCGCUUAAAGCUUUUGGUUUACCAAAAAGUGAAUGCCAGUAUCUUCCCUGAAAAGAUUUUAAAAUCCUACGCACAGGAAUUCAUGCUCCACAGUUGGUUUUAGUCGGCUAUAUUAUAAAAAGAAAAGAAUAGAACUGAAACUACUCAAAGAAACUGAUCACAAAUGAUGACCAUG